GACAGAGGGUGCGAACGUUGCUCGGAAUUACUGGGCGUAAAGCGCGUGUAGGCGGUUUCGCACGUCCGGUGUGAAAGCCCAGGGCUCAACCCUGGAAGUGCACUGGAUACGACGAAGCUGGAGUCCUGAAGAGGAUGGCGGAAUUCCCGGUGUAGAGGUGAAAUUCGUAAAUAUCGGGAGGAACACCAGUGGCGAAGGCGGCCAUCUGGACAGGUACUGACGCUGAGACGCGAAAGCGUGGGUAGCAAACAGG
rnacentral:rRNA from 1 species